UGGAGGCUGACGGGCCCCACGAUGGGCCGGUGGGGGGCUGGAGGCCAGGACAGCCCAGAGCCCGUUGGAGAGCCAGCAGCUCCAGACCCAGGAACACCUGCUGUUUUAGCUCAAGUCUGAAGAUUUCUGCAUGGCUUUACUAAAGAAAAGAGACUGCUUUAAGAUUAAAGCACGAACUUGUUUCACCAACAACCGCAGUUUUGGGGAGCCCAGCUGAGUCCCUUCGUCCGUGUCCCGGGAAGGGACCUUCCCGGGUGACGCAGACACAGCAUCCAAGGCGGGAGCGGCCCAGGAGACACACCAGGAGCCCCACGGGCCCCCGCUCCAGGCACUCCCGCGGACAGGGGCGCUGCUGGGAGCCACCUGCCGCCGCACCUGCGCGUCCACGAAGCAGGAGGCACGUCCAGGAGCGCCCCCUGCACUCGGCCCACAAGGAAUGCAGAACCGGUGGGGUCGCUGUGACAAGACACCACAGACGUAAAGACAGAGGCCUGUUUCCCAGCCGCCCAGGGUGGGGCACCCAGGCUGGGGCACCCGCACAAAGGAUGAGGGGCUCGUCUGGCCACAGGCACCCUCUGGGUCCUCUCCCGCCUCCCCUGAGGACUCUGAUCACCAGUCCCGCUCAUGGGGCUCCCCCCGGCCUCCCAGAGCCCCGGCCCCUGACACAGUCACCAUGGAGGCUGGGUCGUGAGCCGUGAGGACACCCCCACAUUCUGGGCACAGCCACCCCUGACCGUGCCAACCAGGAGGUGGCCUCACCCCGGGGACAAGGGACCGGAACCAGCGUGGGACCGCGGCCGCGCAGACUGCAGGAGGUGCCGGGGAUCGAGGACCCGAACCAGCCUGCUGAGCGGCCGCUGUCUCUCGUCCCUCCAAACCUGCGAGCUCUCCACCCUGACCCCUGCGAACGCUGGUCCUGUGCUCCUGCAGUGACUCCGGCGUCCCCUUCGCCCACGACCGCCUGGUGUCUUCUGUGUCUGCGACACUGGGGAUUUCCCGCUGGCCCCUUUCCAGGCGCCGCUCUCUGCGCGGCCGGGUCUAAACCGAGUCACACCCACUUCCUGGUCCGUGAAGGGGCUUACUGGAAUGGUUUGGGGAUUUCCUUCAUCAUCGUUGCUACUUCUC